UAACCUGCCCAGAGGUGGGGGAGUAACCCGGGGAAAACUCGGGCUAAUACCGCAUGACACCGAGAGGUCAAAGGGGGCUCGCAAGAGCUCUCGCCAUUGGAGGGGUCCGCGUCCGAUUAGCUAGUUGGUAGGGUAAUGGCCUACCAAGGCGACGAUCGGUAGCCGGCCUGAGAGGGUGAUCGGCCACACUGGAACUGAGACACGGUCCAG
rnacentral:rRNA from 1 species